GCUCAGAACGAACGCUGGCGGCGUGCUUAACACAUGCAAGUCGAACGCGAAAGGGACUUCGGUCCUGAGUAAAGUGGCGCACGGGUGAGUAACGCGUGGAUAAUCUACCCGAUGGACCGGGAUAACAUUUCGAAAGGGGUGCUAAUACCGGAUAAGACCACGGCUUCUUAGGGGGCUGCGGUAAAAGGUGGGGACCUUCGGGCCUACCGUCAUCGGAUGAGUCCGCGUACCAUUAGCUAGUUGGUAGGGUAAGAGCCUACCAAGGCGACGAUGGUUAGCUGGUCUGAGAGGAUGAUCAGCCACACUGGAACUGAGACACGGUCCAGACUCCUACGGGAGGCAGCAGUGGGGAAUUUUGCGCAAUGGGGGAAACCCUGACGCAGCAACGCCGCGUGAGUGAUGAAGGCCUUCGGGUCGUAAAGCUCUGUCAGAGGGGAAGAAAUGCAGGGGUGCUAAUAUCAUCUUUGCUUGACGGUACCCUCAAAGGAAGCACCGGCUAACUCCGUGCCAGCAGCCGCGGUAAUACGGAGGGUGCGAGCGUUGUUCGGAAUUAUUGGGCGUAAAGCGCGUGUAGGCGGUUUGGUAAGUCUGAUGUGAAAGCCCCGGGCUCAACCUGGGAAGUGCAUUGGAAACUGUCAGACUUGAAUACGGGAGAGGGUAGUGGAAUUCCUAGUGUAGGAGUGAAAUCCGUAGAUAUUAGGAGGAACACCGGUGGCGAAGGCGGCUACCUGGACCGAUAUGACGCUAGACGC
rnacentral:rRNA from 1 species